UUGCCAGCCCGCUCAGAAACUCAAAGGAAUUGACGGGGCCGCACAAGCGGAGGAGCAUGUGGUUUAAUUCGAUGAUACGCGAGGAACCUUACCUGGGCUCGAACGUAAGAUGACUGUAGGUGAAAGCUUACAUCUCUUCGGAGCAUUUUACGAGGUGCUGCAUGGUUGUCGUCAGCUCGUGCCGUGAGGUGUCGGGUUAAGUCCCAUAACGAGCGCAACCCCUACCUUUAGUUGCCAUCAGGUUAAGCUGGGGACUCUAAAGGAACUGCCUACGCAAGUAGUGAGGAAGGCGGGGAUGACGUCAAAUCAGCACGGCCCUUACGUCCAGGGCUACACACGUGCUACAAUGGCCGAUACAGAGGGCAGCUACCUGGUGACAGGAUGCAAAUCUCCAAAGUCGGUCUCAGUUCGGAUCGGAGUCUGCAACCCGACUCCGUGAAGCUGGAUUCGCUAGUAAUCGCGCAUCAGCCACGGCGCGGUGAAUACGUUCCCGGGCCUU
rnacentral:rRNA from 1 species